rnacentral:rRNA from 1 species
GUUAAAAAGCUCGUAGUCGAACUUCGGUCCCUGUCGGUCGGUCCGCCUUCUUGGUGUGUACUUACUCGACGGGGACUUACCUCCUGGUGAGCUGCGAUGUCCUUUACUGGGUGUCGUAGGGAACCAGGACGUUUACUUUGAAAAAAUUAGAGUGUUCAAAGCAGGCCUACGCCCGAAUACAUUAGCAUGGAAUAAUAGAAUAGGACGCGCGUUCCCAUUUUGUUGGUUUCUGAGAUCGCCGUAAUGAUUAAUAGGGAUAGUUGGGGGCAUUCGUAUUCCGUCGUCAGAGGUGAAAUUCUUGGAUUGCCGGAAGACGAACUAUUGCGAAAGCAUUUGCCAAGGAUGUUUUCAUUGAUCAAGAACGAAGGAAGGGGGAUCGAAAACGAUCAGAUACCGUUGUAGUCUCUUCUGUAAACUAUGCCAAUUGGGGAUUAGCUUAGGAUUUUUAAUGACUAAGUUAGCACCCGAAGAGAAAUCUUUAAAUGAGGUUCGGGGGGGAGUAUGGUCGCAAGGCUGAAACUUAAAGGAAUUGACGGAAGGGCACCACCAGGUGUGGAGCCUGCGGCUUAAUUUGACUCAACACGGGGAAACUCACCAGGUCCAGACACAAUAAGGAUUGACAGAUUGAUAGCUCUUUCUUGAUCUUGUGGUUGGUGGUGCAUGGCCGUUCUUAGUUGGUGGAGUGAUUUGUCUGGUUAAUUCCGAUAACGAACGAGACCUUAACCUGCUAAAUAGACCAGCCGGCUUUGGCUGGCUGCUGUCUUCUUAGAGGGACUAUCAGCGUUUAGCUGAUGGAAGUUUGAGGCAAUAACAGGUCUGUGAUGCCCUUAGAUGUUCUGGGCCGCACGCGCGCUACACUGACAGAGCCAGCGAGUCUACCACCUUGGCCGGAAGGCCUGGGUAAUCUUGUGAAACUCUGUCGUGAUGGGGAUAGAACAUUGCAAUUA